rnacentral:rRNA from 1 species
UACGGGGGGGGCAAGCGUUGUUCGGAAUUACUGGGCGUAAAGGGCUCGUAGGCGGCCAACUAAGUCGGAUGUGAAAUCCCCAGGCUUAACCUGGGAACUGCAUCCGAUACUGGAUGGCUUGAAUUCGGGAGAGGGAUGCAGAAUUCCAGGUGUAGCGGUGAAAUGCGUAGAUAUCAGGAGGAACACCGAUGGCGAAGGCGGGUCUCUGGGCAACAACUGACGCUGAGGAGCGAAAGCGUGGGGAGCGAACAGG